AAGUCGUAACAAGGUUUCCGUAGGUGAACCUGCGGAAGGAUCAUUAAUGAAUUAUAAAUGUCAGAGUUGGUUGUAGCUGGUCUCUGGGAUUAAUUUCUUUGGAGACAAUGUGCACACCUUCUCUUUCAUCCACUCACCCCUGUGCACUUGUGAGGCAGGUUAGUUGGAGGACUUUAUUAAUUUAUUGGACUCCCUCUGUCUACUUAAUUUACACAAACUCCAAUUGAUUUUAAAACGAAUGUAAUUGAUGUAACGCAUCUAAUACUAAGUUUCAACAACGGAUCUCUUGGCUCUC
rnacentral:misc_RNA from 1 species